CGGGGUGCAGCAGGCGCGAAAACUUUACAAUGCCGGCAACGGCGAUAAGGGAACCUCGAGUGCCAGGUUACAAAUCUGGCUGUCGUGAUGCCUAAAAAGCAUUGCAUAGCAAGGGCCGGGCAAGACCGGUGCCAGCCGCCGCGGUAACACCGGCGGCUCGAGUGGUAACCGUUAUUAUUGGGUCUAAAGGGUCUGUAGCCGGCCGGGUAAGUCUCUUGGGAAAUCUGGCAGCUUAACUGUCAGGCUUUCAGGAGAUACUGCCUGGCUCGAGGCCGGGAGAGGUGAGAGGUACUUCAGGGGUAGGGGUGAAAUCUUGUAAUCCUUGAAGGACCACCAGUGGCGAAGGCGUCUCACCAGAACGGACCUGACGGCAAGGGACGAAAGCUAGGGGCACGAACCGGAUUAGAUACCCGGGCAGUCCUAGCCGUAAACGAUACUCGCUAGGUGUCGGCCACGGUGCGACCGUGGUCGGUGCCGUAGGGAAGCCGUGAAGCGAGCCACCUGGGAAGUACGGCCGCAAGGCUGAAACUUAAAGGAAUUGGCGGGGGAGCACAAGGGCGAA
rnacentral:rRNA from 1 species